UUUUUCCCAAGAUGAGUUACACACUCUUAGGUGUUUGAUGGCUUGACUUGAUUCUCCUUCUACCACAGUUUCUUCCACUCCAGCUUCUUCCAAUUUUGCCCACACAGGUAUUCCUGCUAGUGCUCUUAGUACAUCCUCAUCACCGUCUUGGAUUAUUGAUUCAGGUGCCAUCGACCACAUGACAGGUGCCUCUAGUCUUUUUUAUUCUUAUUCUCCGUGUUCUGGCCGAGACAAGGUUCAAGUGGCUGAUGGCACUUUAUCCUCCGUCUCCGGGAAGGGAACUGGCUAUGGGGAAAACGAUUGGCAAUGUUAGAGCACAAGGUGGGCUAUACUUUCUGGAUGUCGUUCCUCUUGCUGUUUCAUCUCAGGCUCUUAAGUGCACUAAUGGCUCCCCUCUUCAUCUCCUCCAUCAGUGGCAUUGCCGUUUGGGUCAUCUUUCCGUUAGUGUUUUAGAGAAACUUUUUCCUUCUUUAGUUUGUGAUUGUCCUAGGAACAUUUUUGGUUGUGAUGCUUGUGAACUUGCAAAGCAUAAACGUACUUGUUACCCUUCAAUUAAUCAAAGAAGUACUUUUCCUUUUA